rnacentral:tRNA from 1 species
GGGCAUUUGGUCUAGUGGUAUGAUUCUUGCUUUGGGUGCAAGAGGUCCUGAGUUCGAUUCUCGGAAUGCCCC